ACCUCGAGCCCCACGCACCCCACGCACCUUUCUUUCCCGAGCACGCAACCUCUCCUUCCCUCUCCAGAAAAACACCAUCCUUCGACCUGGAUCGGCUCAUGUGACCGUCGGGCCUUGUCGCCACCGACGCCGACGCCUGCAAACGGCGGCAGGCUGGAUCUUGAUGGCGUGCUCGUAGCGCUGCCCACCAUCUGCGUGAUCUGGGCCGACGGGUUCAUCUCCUCCCACCUCUGUGAGAAUCUCAUGGCCGAGACCCCGCACUCCGUCCUCAUCGUCGACCACCUCGUCGACCCACCCCCGCCCCACGUCGCCGGCUGCAUCUCCUUCCGCUGCCUCAACGUCAUGAACAACUCCCGCCUGGAGGGCCUCAUCAAGACGUCCGAUCUGACGUUGGUAGUACAAGGAAAGAAGUACAGCAUCAGGCUGCAGAAAUAUCUUUAA
rnacentral:rRNA from 1 species